AAAGAAACCAACAGGGAUUGCCCUAGUAACGGCGAGUGAAGCGGCAACAGCUCAAAUUUGAAAUCUGGUCCCCCCCGCGGGGGCCCGAGUUGUAAUUUGAAGAGGAUGCUUUUGGCGAGGCGCCUUCCGAGUGCCCUGGAACGGGACGCCACAGAGGGUGAGAGCCCCGUAUGGUCGGACGCCGAGCCUCUGUAAAGCUCCUUCGACGAGUCGAGUAGUUUGGGAAUGCUGCUCAAAAUGGGAGGUAAACCCCUUCUAAAGCUAAAUACUGGCCAGAGACCGAUAGCGCACAAGUAGAGUGAUCGAAAGAUGAAAAGCACUUUGAAAAGAGAGUUAAACAGCACGUGAAAUUGUUGAAAGGGAAGCGCUUGCGACCAGACUCGCGCCCGCCGGAUCAGCCGUCGCUCGUCGGCGGCGCACUCCGGCGGGCUCGGGCCAGCAUCGGUUCGCCUCGGGGGGAGAAAGGCGGCGGGAAUGUGGCUCUGCGGAGUGUUAUAGCCCGCCGCGCAAUACCCCCGGGCGGACCGAGGACCGCGCGUAUGCAAGGAUGCUGGCGUAAUGGUCGUCAGCGACCCGUCUUGAAACACGGACCAAGGAGUCGUCCUAGUAUGCGAGUGUUCGGGUGUCAAACCCCUGCGCGUAAUGAAAGUGAACGGAGGUGAGAGCUUCGGCGCAUCAUCGACCGAUCCUGAUGUUCUCGGAUGGAUUUGAGUAAGAGCAUACUGGGCCGGACCCGAAAGAAGGUGAACUAUGCCUGUAUAGGGUAAAGCCAGAGGAAACUCUGGUGGAGGCUCGCAGCGGUUCUGACGUGCAAAUCGAUCGUCAAAUAUGGGCAUGGGGGCGAAAGACUAAUCGAAC
rnacentral:rRNA from 1 species